rnacentral:tRNA from 1 species
GCGGUCGUGGCGGAAUGGCAGACGCGCAGGAUUCAGAUUCCUGUCCCGAUUUUGGUGGUGUGGGUUCAAGUCCCAUCGACCGCA